rnacentral:rRNA from 1 species
UAGGGAAUCUUCGGCAAUGGGGGGAACCCUGACCGAGCAACGCCGCGUGAGUGAAGAAGGUUUUCGGAUCGUAAAGCUCUGUUGUUAAGGAAGAACGAGUGUGAGAAUGGAAAGUUCAUGCUGUGACGGUACUUAACCAGAAAGGGACGGCUAACUACGUGCCAGCAGCCGCGGUAAUACGUAGGUCCCGAGCGUUGUCCGGAUUUAUUGGGCGUAAAGCGAGCGCAGGCGGUUAGAAAAGUCUGAAGUGAAAGGCAGUGGCUCAACCAUUGUAGGCUUUGGAAACUGUUUAACUUGAGUGCAGAAGGGGUGGGUGGAAUUCCCUGUGUAGCGGUGAAAUGCGUAGAUAUAUGGAGGAACACCGGUGGCGAAAGCGGCUCUCUGGUCUGUAACUGACGCUGAGGCUCGAAAGCGUGGGGAGCGAACAGG